rnacentral:rRNA from 1 species
GACGAACGCUGGCGGCGUGCCUAAUACAUGCAAGUAGAACGCUGAAGAGAGGAGCUUACUCUUCUUGGAUGAGUUGCGAACGGGUGAGUAACGCGUAGGUAACCUGCCUUGUAGCGGGGGAUAACUAUUGGAAACGAUAGCUAAUACCGCAUAACAAUGGAUGACACAUGUCAUUUAUUUGAAAGGGGCAAUUGCUCCACUACAAGAUGGACCUGCGUUGUAUUAGCUAGUAGGUGAGGUAAUGGCUCACCUAGGCGACGAUACAUAGCCGACCUGAGAGGGUGAUCGGCCACACUGGGACUGAGACACGGCCCAGACUCCUAAGGGAGGGAGCAGGAGGGAAUCUUCGGCAAGGGGGGCAACCCUGACCGAGCAACGCCGCGGGAGGGAAGAAGGGUGUCGGAUCGUAAAGCUCGGUUGUAAGUCAAGAACGGGUGUGAGAGUGGAAAGUUCACACUGUGACGGUAGCUUACCAGAAAGGGACGGCUAACUACGUG